rnacentral:rRNA from 1 species
CGACAGAGGGUGCAAACGUUGCUCGGAAUCACUGGGUCGUGAAAGGGCGUGUAGGCGGAUAGGUAAGUCGGGCGUGAAAUCCCUGGGCUCAACCCAGGAACUGCACUCGAAACUGCUUGUCUUGAGUGCCGGAGAGGAAAGCGGAAUUCCUGGUGUAGAGGUGAAAUUCGUGAGAUAGUCGAGGAGGAACACCGGUGGCGAAGGCGGCAUCCUGGACCGGC